CAAAGUAGCUCCCAAACAACCCAUGCUGGCUUCUUCAAAUGCCACCCUGGCUGCUGCUGCCUGCUACCAGAAAUGCUCCUGACAUAAAGGUCUCUGAAUUCACUACGGAUGGACACAGCUAGCUGGUUCCUGGCCCAGGAUGUACAGGCCUGCUCCUCGGAGCCAAUGAGCUCAGCCCAGAAUUCCCAUCUAACAAUAAAGUUUUGUUCCCAGU